GACGAACGCUGGCGGCGUGCUUAACACAUGCAAGUCGAACGGUGAAGCUCCAGCUUGCUGGAGUGGAUCAGUGGCGAACGGGUGAGUAACACGUGAGCAACCUGCCCCUGACUCUGGAAUAAGCGCUGGAAACGGCGUCUAAUACUGGAUACGAGAAGGGUCCGCAUGGGCACUUUCUGGAAAGUUCUUCGGUUGGGGAUGGGCUCGCGGCCUAUCAGCUUGUUGGUGAGGUAAUGGCUCACCAAGGCGACGACGGGUAGCCGGCCUGAGAGGGCGACCGGCCACACUGGGACUGAGACACGGCCCAGACUCCUACGGGAGGCAGCAGUGGGGAAUAUUGCACAAUGGGCGAAAGCCUGAUGCAGCGACGCCGCGUGAGGGAUGACGGCCUUCGGGUUGUAAACCUCUUUCGGCAGGGAAGAAGCGAGAGUGACGGUACCUGCAGAAGAAGCACCGGCUAACUACGUG
rnacentral:rRNA from 1 species